rnacentral:rRNA from 1 species
CUACGGGGUGCUGCAGUGGGGAAUAUUGCACAAUGGGCGCAAGCCUGAUGCAGCCAUGCCGCGUGUAUGAAGAAGGCCUUCGGGUUGUAAAGUACUUUCAGCGGGGAGGAAGGGAGUAAAGUUAAUACCUUUGCUCAUUGACGUUACCCGCAGAAGAAGCACCGGCUAACUCCGUGCCAGCAGCCGCGGUAAUACGGAGGGUGCAAGCGUUAAUCGGAAUUACUGGGCGUAAAGCGCACGCAGGCGGUUUGUUAAGUCAGAUGGGAAAUCCCCGGGCUCAACCUGGGAACUGCAUCUGAACUGGCAAGCUUGAGUCUCGUAGAGGGGGGUAGAAUGCCAGGUGUAGCGGUGAAAUGCGUAGAGAUCUGGAGGAAUACCGGUGGCGAAGGCGGCCCCCUGGACGAAGACUGACGCUCAGGUGCGAAAGCGUGGGGGGCAAACAGGAUUAGAUACCCCAGUAGUC